rnacentral:rRNA from 1 species
CCCUACGGGGGGCAGCAGUGGGGGAUAUUGCACAAUGGGGGGAACCCUGAUGCAGCGACGCCGCGUGGGUGAAGGAGCGUAUCGGCGCGUAAAGCCCUAUCGGCAGGGAAGAAGGAGGACGGUACCUGACUAAGAAGCCCCGGCUAACUACGUGCCAGCAGCCGCGGUAAUACGUAGGGGGCAAGCGUUAUCCGGAUUUACUGGGUGUAAAGGGGGCGCAGACGGCAGCGCAAGCCCGGAGUGAAAGCCCGGGGCCCAACCCCGGGACGGCUCUUGGAACUG